rnacentral:rRNA from 1 species
UCCAGACUCCUACGGGAGGCAGCAGUGGGGAAUAUUGCGCAAUGGGGGAAACCCUGACGCAGCAACGCUGCGUGCGGGAUGAAGGCUUUCGGGUUGUAAACCGCUUUCAGCAGGGAAGAUAAUGACGGUACCUGCAGAAGAAGCCCCGGCUAACUACGUGCCAGCAGCCGCGGUAAUACGUAGGGGGCAAGCGUUAUCCGGAUUUACUGGGUGUAAAGGGAGCGUAGACGGCUGUGCAAGCCAGAUGUGAAAGCCCGGGGCUCAACCCCGGGACUGCAUUUGGAACUGCGUGGCUUGAGUGUCGGAGAGGCAGGCGGAAUUCCUAGUGUAGCGGUGAAAUGCGUAGAUAUUAGGAGGAACACCAGUGGCGAAGGCGGCCUGCUGGACGAUGACUGACGUUGAGGCUCGAAAGCGUGGGGAGCAAACAGGAUUAGAUACCCGCGUACU